rnacentral:rRNA from 1 species
UAAUACGAAGGGGGCGAGCGUUGUUCGGAAUUACUGGGCGUAAAGGGCGCGUAGGCGGCGACCCAAGUCAGAUGUGAAAGUCCUGGGCUUAACCUGGGGACUGCAUUUGAUACUGGGUUGCUUGAAUUCGGGAGAGGAUAGCGGAAUUCCCAGUGUAGAGGUGAAAUUCGUAGAUAUUGGGAAGAACACCGGUGGCGAAGGCGGCUAUCU